AGUGAACGCUGGCGGUAGGCCUAACACAUGCAAGUCGAACGGCAGCACAGUAAGAGCUUGCUCUUACGGGUGGCGAGUGGCGGAUGGGUGAGGAAUACAUCGGAAUCUACUUUUUCGUGGGGGAUAACGUAGGGAAACUUACGCUAAUACCGCAUACGACCUACGGGUGAAAGCAGGGGAUCUUCGGACCUUGCGCGAUUGAAUGAGCCGAUGUCGGAUUAGCUAGUUGGCGGGGUAAAGGCCCACCAAGGCGACGAUCCGUAGCUGGUCUGAGAGGAUGAUCAGCCACACUGGAACUGAGACACGGUCCAGACUCCUACGGGAGGCAGCAGUGGGGAAUAUUGGACAAUGGGCGCAAGCCUGAUCCAGCCAUACCGCGUGGGUGAAGAAGGCCUUCGGGUUGUAAAGCCCUUUUGUUGGGAAAGAAAAGCAGCAAGUUAAUACCCCGCUGUUCUGACGGUACCCAAAGAAUAAGCACCGGCUAACUUCGUG
rnacentral:rRNA from 1 species